UGGGAUUCCUGAUACUUCAGUCAGAAGAAGCAGAAUUAGUAUGACUAUUUACCUAGAAAAAGCAUCGAGUGGGUCUCAAACUUUAAAUACGUCAAAAUAAACCUGGUUUGCAGGCCUCAACUCAUUACCCUGGCACUUUUACCACAGUGGAGCAUCUGGCUCUCAACUUUACAGGUACAGAAACCAAGCUUUGUGAACACUUAGAAAACAGGAUCACUCCAGAUUGAAAUUCAUACUACUCUAGCUCAUGAAGCUGAUGAAAGAAAUAUACUUUAUUUAUUUAUUUAUUUUUAAAUUAUUACUAUUUUUUGAGAUGGAGUCUUGCUGGAGUGUAGUGGUGCGAUCUCAGCUCACUGCAAUGUCCACCUCCCGGGUUCAAGCAAUUCCCCUGCCUCAGCCUCUUGAGUAGCUGGGAUUACAGGCAUGUGCUACCAUGCCUGGCUAAUUUUUUGUAUUUUAGUAGAGACGGGGUUUCACCAUGUUGGCCAGGAUGGUCUUGAUCUCCUGACCUCGUGAUUCACCCACCUCAGCCUCCCAAAGUGCUGGGAUUACAGGCGUGAGCCACUGCACCCGGCCUAUACUUGAUUUAUAAGUACAUCACAAGUAAUGCAACAACCUACACACUUGCAACUACAAACUUUCAGAUUAUUUCCGUGGCUGACUAACCUCCACAUUAUCAGAGCCACAUUCUUUUAUGGAAAUAUUUAGGUUUGUGCAAAAGUAAUUGCGGUCUUUGCCAUUAAAGUAAAGGCAAAAACCACAAUUACUUUUGCACCAAUCUUUAUAUUUAUAUAAUUCACUAGCUUGCAGUAAAAUCCCACAAGCUGAUUACCAAUUUUCUCUCUUUCAGGAGUCCUCUCUAACCUCUACCCUGAUCUUUGUUUGUGGAUGUUGCUCUUGAGCUCCUGAGUACACUCUUACUUCCCCCAUUUCUAGGAUCUUGGGCAAUGGGGAAGACCUUGAUUGUAACUAACAUAUAUGAAAACCCGUCUAUACAAGAGUUAAAGCUGCACCUGUCUCCUACACAAAAAUUCCACCUCAUCCUAAGUCAAAGACCCUUCUUCUAUAUCAUAGUCAUCAAAACACUGUAUGAAUUUAUUUUUAUUUUUUAAUUUUUAUUUUUUUAAGAUAAGUAGAGAGUUUAUUUGGGCCAAGUUUGAAGACUGCAAUCCAAGAACAUAGAUUCAAAUUGCCCUGAAUACACACUCCCACUGCAUUAAUUUAGACAGCACUAAUGGAAAUUGCAACUUUACAUCUCCUCAGAUGAGAGUUUCACUUGAUUUCUGUCAGUCUUACACAUAGGAAUGCUUAAGAUGACCCUAGGGUAGUAGAACAGUAUUUCUCAGUUAACCAUAAUAAAUGCCUGUCACACUCAAAGCUCCCCCUGCCAAGAAUUAUGGACCCUCUUACCAGCCUGGUUGUCUUAAAAUCCAGUCUGGGUGAUGUUCAUUAUAAGCUUUUACUUCAAGAAAAUCGCUCCAACUCAGAAAUCUAACUUCUUAAAUCAUAAGUAAAAACCUCUUUUUAUCCUUGUAACUGAUAAAGUGUUUGAACUUGGCCCUAGUUUCACAAUUAAAUUAUCUAGCACUCCUAACCCAGCUUUCUCCUGUGUCUUGGCUGAAGAACAAGAAAAUUAAUUGGGUGACUAUAAGGAAUCUGAGGCAACCUCUUCCACAUCUGAGUGCCUGCCUCCCACACAUGACUCUGCAGCAGGAAACUGGGGACAUUCUUCCAGCUUCAGUGACUCAUGAGAAAAUAAUGUCCCAGUGGCUGAUUGUGUGUGUGUGUGUGUUUGUGUGAAAAUAUAUAUAACACUUAAGCAUUUAACCACUUUUAAGUAUAUAGUUCAGUAGAAUUAAGUGCUUUUACAUUGUUACAUUGUUGUGCAACCAUCACCAUUCCCAUCUCCAAACUGCAACUCAGUUUCAUCUUUCAUCUUCUAAACUGAAACUCACUACCCAUUAAACAAUAACUGUCCAUUUUCUGGUCUUGCCAACACCUUGUAACCACUAUUUUACUUUCUGUCUCUAUGAACUUAACUACUCCAGAUGCCUUGUAUAAGCAAAGUCUUACAAUAUUU
rnacentral:lncRNA from 1 species